GAAACUUCCACACAAAUAGAAAGAAGAUAAUGUCUGACAAAUGAUAAUGAUACAAAUUAGGUAUGAACAAAUUCAUAAAUACAGGGUCAACCAUUAAGGAGAUGGAUCAAAUGAUGCACUUUCCUAUAACUGUUUCACAAAUCAGGUUAACAAAUCUAUAAAAGCUGAGAAUAUUCCAGAAGCAUUAUAUUUACUCAAUGGAACAUUGAGAAAAGACCUUCCAAAAACAAAGAUCUAAAGGAAAAAAGAAUAGAUAAAAUAUAUAUCAAUCAAGAGGCCGUGCAAACAACUAUCCAAGCAGAACUUUGCAUGAUUCUGUGCUACUACAAAGAGAAAAACUAUAAAGUAUUCUGCAAGUAAAAUGCAUAAGUAAGCCCGCUUUUAUAGUCAUUUAGUCCUCAGUUAUUAAAUGUAUGUCAACAAAACAUGGGUUAAAAGUGGAAGAAUGAACAAAAUUCAACAGGACACUCUUGAAGAAUAGGAUACUUAAUAAAUAGAGCAUUUAGACCUCAGAAAAU
rnacentral:misc_RNA from 1 species